CGAAGCAACGCGAAGAACCUUACCAGGACCUUGACAUGCAGAGAACUUUCCAGAGAUGGAUUGGUGCCUUCGGGAACUCUGACACAGGUGCUGCAUGGCUGUCGUCAGCUCGUGUCGUGAGAUGUUGGGUUAAGUCCCGCAACGAGCGCAACCCUUGCCUUUAGUUGCCAGCAGUUCGGCUGGCACUCUAAAGGGACUGCCGGUGUUAAACCGGAGGAAGGUGGGGAUGACGUCAAGUCCUCAUGGCCUUUAUGACCAGGGCUACACACGUACUACAAUGGCCGAUACAAAGGGCAGCGACACUGCGAGGUGAAGCCAAUCCCGUAAAAUCGGUCUCAGUCCGGAUUGGAGUCUGCAACUCGACUCCAUGAAGUUGGAAUCGCUAGUAAUCGUGGAUCAGCAUGCCACGGUGAAUACGUUCCCGGGCCUU
rnacentral:rRNA from 1 species